GGAAGGGUGGCUCAGUGGUAGAGCGACCGCCGUUCGGGUGCGCACGCAUCCACGGUGGAUUACUUAAGGCUUCGCGUGGUUCGACUCCCGCCCCUUCCA
rnacentral:tRNA from 1 species